AACAAACGCUGGCGGCGUGCCUAAUACAUGCAAGUCGAACGGGUAGCAAUACCAGUGGCGCACGGGUGAGGAAUACAUAGAUAAUCUGCCUUCGAGUCGGGGAUAACCAGUCGAGAGAUUGGCUAAUACCGGAUAAGACCACAGGAUCUGCGGAUCUAGGGGUUAAAGGUUUUUCGCUUGAAGAUGAGUCUGUGCGAGAUUAGCUAGUUGGUGAGGUAACGGCUCACCAAGGCGACGAUCUCUAACUGGUCUUAGAGGAUGAUCAGUCACACUGGAACUGAGACACGGUCCAGACUCCUACGGGAGGCAGCAGUAGGGAAUAUUGCGCAAUGGGGGAAACCCUGACGCAGCGACGCCGCGUGAGUGAUGAAGGCCUUCGGGUCGUAAAGCUCUGUCGUAUGGGAAUAACACAAUGAAUGUACCAUGCAAGAAAGGAUCGGCUAACUUCGUGCCAGCCGCCGCCGUAAGA
rnacentral:rRNA from 1 species